rnacentral:sRNA from 1 species
ACCGCGAGGAGGCUUGAGCACUUCUGCACGCGGCGCGAGAGCUGGGUGAAUCUGAUGUCAGCAAAUCACAGAAGAAAAGAGAUGCUGCUGACAAACCAAGAGGAUUUGCCACAGGUCUUGAUCCUAAAAGAGUAAUUGGUGCCACAGAUGGCAGCGGAAAAUGGAUGUUUCUCAUGAGGUGGAAAGAUUCAGAAUGAAGAAGAUACCCAGCAGAUGUGUGCCAAGAUUCUACAAAUGGUACAUACAGGUUGGCACCCAGCAUGUGUUUCUGCUCCUUCUCCUGUUUCAGUGCCUGCCUGUGGUGAGCAAAGCCAAUAACCACUACAGCACCGAUGGCUGCCCUGGCCCCUCUCUCUGCCUGAGCACUUUGAAUAUACUGGCCCGCUGCCUUCUGGCCUCAAAAGUUUCAGUAGAGACGUGGGGAACUUUCAUGAAAAAUGCUAAUUCUGACUCCUCUCAGCGCUCAACAGAUUUGUUACACUUCAUCCACUCAGCUGCAAGAUCUAGAGUGCUUUCAGAGGUGACCGGAAGAGUUCUCUAAUACCCUACAAAGACCACGGAUCUUUGCCACUUCAGGUGCUGUGGCUCAAACCUCUUAAAGUCAUCCCAGGAAAAAGUGUUGAUUGUAGUAUUCUCUCAAUGUAUGUAAAUAGAAUUUAUGUCAUAAUAAUAGUAGGUUCUGAUGGUACUACUUCCACCCAAGGGAGUCACUCUGCUGCACCCUCCUUGUCUGUGUAUACAGUGCUCACCCUUGCAGGAGCAGGAAAGUCCCUUAUCUAGAGCUCAACCCCAGCCCUUGUGCCUUAAUGGUGUGUGUCCUGGGGAGGUGGUUCAAGCAUCCCCCGUCAAUGUAGAGAUGUGGCAGAAACCCGUUCACCUGUUAUAUUGGUAUCUGGCUCCAGAAAGAAACGUUUCAUUGCUUUGACAUAAGAAUAAAUUGAUGAAUGAAGUUAAA